GCCGCCAUGGCGAAACUGGUAUACGCAACCGACUUAAAAUCGGUCUCUUCGGAUUGCGGGUUCGAUUCCCGCUGGCGGCACCG
rnacentral:tRNA from 8 species